ensembl:misc_RNA Metazoa_SRP Metazoan signal recognition particle RNA
GAUGUGUGCAGUGGUGCUUACCUAUAGUCCCAACUACUCUGGAGGCUAAGGCAGGAGGAUAGCUUGAGUCCAGGAGUUCUAGGCUAUAGUGCCCUACGCUGAUCUGUGUUUGCACCAAGUUCAGCAUCAAUAUGGUGAAUUAUUGGGAGCUGGGGAUCACCAAGUUGCCUGAGAAGGGGUUAACCACCCCAGGUAGAAAAUAGAGCAGAUCAAAACUCCAGUAUUGAUCAGUAGUGGGAUGCUGCCUAUGAAUAGCCACUGCACUCCAGUCUGGGCAACCUAGAGAGACCUCUAUCUCA